UGGAGGUGCCGAGUGUAGAAAAAUGGGCUCUCUAGAAAGCUUUUCUAUAUUGAUACAGAAUCGAUGUACAUAUUUUCAGGGUACAUGUGAUAAUUUAAUACCAUUGUAUAAUUUGUAAAGAUCAAAUCAGGGUGAUUGGGAUCUUCACCUAAAAUAUUCAUCUUUUCUUUGUGCCAGGAACAGUCAAGCUGUUCUCUUUUGGCUAAUUUGAAACAUACAUACAUUAUUGUUAACUCUAGUCACCCUGUUGAUCUAUCAAACACUAGGUUUUAUUUCUUCUGUCUAUUUGUAGCCAUUAGUCAAUGUCUCUCCUUCCUUCCUCCCAGCUCCCCUUCCCAUCCUCUGGUAACCACCAAUCUCAACGGAGGCACCCUCAUGAGAUCCAUUUGUUAGCUCCCACAUAUGAGUGAGAACAUGCAGUAUUUGUCUUUCUAUGUUUGGCUUAUUUCACUUCACAUAAUGACUUCCAGUUUCCCAUGUUGGUGCCUAUGACAGGCUUGCACCCUUUUUUAUGGCAGAAUACUAUUCCAUUGUGUAUAUAUUCUGCAUUUUCUAUAUCCAUUCAUCCAUUGAUGGACACUUAGGUCGACUCCAUAUUUUUGCUAUUGUGACUAGUCCUGCAAUAAACACAGGCAUGCAGAUAUCUCUUUGAUAUAUUGAUUUCCUUUCUUUUGGAUACAAACCCGGUAGUGGAAUUUCUGGAUCAUAUGUUAGUUCUAGUUUCACUUUUUUCUGAGCAACCUCCAUACUAUUCUCUAUAGUGGCUGCGCUAAUUUACAUUCCCACCCACAGUGUCCGAGGGCUCCUCUCCACAUCCGUGCCAGCCAUUUGUUAUUUUCUGUCUUUUCAAUAAGAGCCAUUUUGGGCCAGGCCCGGUGGCUCAUGCCUGUAAUCCCAUCACUUUGGGAGGCUGAGGCAGGCAGAUCAUGAGGUCAGGAGAUCGAGACCAGCCUGGCCAACAUGGUGAAACCCCGUCUCUACUAAAAAUACAAAAAAUUAGCCGGGUGUGGUGGCAGGUGCCUGUAAUCCCAGCUACUCGGGAGGCUGAGGCAGGAGAAUCGCUUGAAUCCAGGAGGUGGAGGUUGCAGUGAGCGGAGAUUGUGCCAUUGCACUCCAGCCUGGGAGACAGAGCAAGACUCCGUCUCAAAAGAAAAAAAAAGCCAUUUUAACGGGAGUGGGAUGAUAUCUCAUUGUGAUUUUGAUUUGUAUUUCUCUGAUGACUAUAUCUGUUGGCCAUUUGUAAGUUUUUAUUUGAUGACUAUAUCUGUUUACCACCUAUAUGUUUUUAUUUGAUGACUAUACCUGUUGGCCAUUUGUAUGUUUUUAUUUGAUGACUAUACCUGUUGGCCAUUUGUAUGUUUUUAUUUGAUGACUAUAUCUGUUUUACCAUUUGUAUGUUUUUAUUUGAUGACUAUAUCUGUUGGCCAUUUGUAUGUUUUUAUUUGAUGACUAUAUCUGUUUACCAUUUGUGUGUUUUUAUUUGAUGACUAUAUCUGUUGGCCAUUUGUGUGUUUUUAUUUGAUGACUAUAUCUGUUUGCCAUUUGUAUGUUUUUAUUUGAUGACUGUACCUGUUGGCCAUUUAUAUGUUUUUAUUUGAAAAAUGUCUAUUCAGAUCUUUUGCCCAUUUUUAAAUUAGAGGUUUGUUUUUUUUUUGCUGUUGAGUGUUUUGAGCUCUUUAUAUAUUCUGGUUAUUAAUCCCUUGUCAGAUGGAUCGUUUACAUAUAUUUUCUCCAUUCUGUGGGUUGUUUCUUCACUUUUUUGUUUCCUUUGCUGUGCAGAAGCCUUUUAGCUUGAUGUGAUCUCAUUUUAUCUUUAUUUGCUUUGGUUAUCUGUGCUUUUGAGGCCUUACCAAAAAAAUCUUUGCCCUGAUCAAUGUCCUGGAGUGUUUCCUUAGUGUUUUCUUUUAGCGGUUUCAUAGUUUCGGGUCUUAUAUUUAAGCCUUUAAUCCAUUUUGAUUCGAUUUUUGUAUAUGGUGAGACAUAGGAGUCUUGUUUCAUUCUUCUGUGUAUGGAAAUCCAGUUUUCUCAGCAACAUUUAUUGAAGAGAUUGUCCUUUCCCCAAUAUCUGCUCUUGGUGCCUUUGUGAAAAAUGAGUUGGUUAUAAACGUGUGAAUUUAUACCUGGAUUCUCUAUUCUGUUCCAUUGGUCUGUGUGUCUGUUUUUAUGCCAGUACUAUGCUUAUUUGGAUACUAUAGCUUUGAAGCAUAUUUCGAAGUCAGGUCAUAUGAGACCUCCAUGUUUGUUAUUUUUGCUCAGGAUUGCUUUGGGUAUUUGGGGUCUUUUGUGAGCUUAUGUAAAUUUUAGAGAUUUUUCUUUCUGUGAAGAGUGUCAUUGGCAUUUUGAUAGGGACUACACUGAUGUCUACAGCCAUGCCCACCCUGAACAAGCCCCAUCUCAUCUAAUAGGGACUGCAUUGAAUCUGUCAAUUGCUUUGGGUAGUAUCGACAUUUUAACAGUAUUAGUUAUUUGGAUACAUGAGCAUGGAAUAUCUUUCCAGUUUUUUGUGUCGUCUUCAAUUGUUUUCUUCAGUGUUGUAUCGUUUUCCUUGUAUAGAUCUUUUACUUCUUUGGUUAAAUUAAUUUCUAGGUAUCUUAUAUUAUGUUUAGCUAUUGGAAAUAGGGUUACUUUAUUGUUUUUUAGAUUGUUUGCUGUUGGCAUAUAUAAAUGCUGCUGAUUUUUGUAUGUUGAUUUUGUAUCCUGCAACUUUACUGAAUUUGUCAGUUCUGACAGUGUUUUGAAGUCUUUGGUGUUUUAUAAAUAUGAUAAGAUCAUGAUGUCUGCAAAUAAGGCUAAUUUGACUUUUUCCUUUCCAAUUUGGGUGCCUGUAUUUCUUUCUCUUGCCUAAUUGCUGUGGUCAGGACUUCAGUGCUAUGUUGUAUAAAAAUGGUGAAAGUGAACAUCCUUGUCUUGCUCCAAAUGUUAGAGAAAAGGCUUUCAGUGUUUCCCCAUUCAUUAUGGUGUUAGCUGUGGAUUUGUCAUAUAUAGCGUUUAUUAUUUUGAGGUAUGUUCUUUCUAUACCCAUUUUGAUGAGUGUUUUAUCAUAAAGGGAUGUUGAAUUUUAUCAAAUGCUUUUUUAGCAUCUAUUGAAAUGAUCAUGUAGUUUUGUUCUUAAUUCUGUUAAUGUGAUGUAUUAUGUUUAUUGAUAUGCAUAUUUUGAAUCGUCAUUGUAUCCCUGGGAUGAAUCCCACUCGAUCAUGUUGAAUGAUCUUUUUAAUGUGUUCUUGAAUUCAGUUUGCUAAUAUUUUGUUGAAGAUUUUUGUGUCUAUGCCUAUAGUCCUCCUUUUUUUUUGUCUUGUCUUUUCAGCUUUUGGUUUCAGGGUAACACUGACCUCAUAGAAUGAGUUUGGAGGUAUUCCCUCCUCUUCAAUUUUUUGAAGAGUUUGAGUAGAAUUGGUAUUAUUUCUUCAAAUGUUUGGUAGAAUUCAUCAGUGAAGGCAUCAGGUCCUGGGCUUUUCUUUGAUGGUAAAUUUUUUUAUUAUGGCUUUGAUCUAAUUACUUGUUAUUGGUUUGUUGAAGUUUUCUAUUUCUUCAUGGUUCAAUCUUGGUAGUGUCCAGGAAUGUACCUAUUUCUUCUAGGUUUUCCCAUUUCUUAGCAUGCAGUUGUUUAUAAUUGUCUCUAAUGAUCCUUUUUAUUCCUGUGAUCUGAGUUGUUACAUCUCCUUUUUCAUUUCUGACUUUAUUUAUUUGGAUCUUCUUUCCUUUUUUCUUAGUCUAGCUAAAGGUUUGUCAAUUUUGUUUACCUUUUCAAAAAACUUUUUGUUUUAUUGAUUUUUCUGUAUAUUUUAUCUUAAUUUCAUUUAUUUCUGCUCUGAUUUGUAUUAUUUCUUUCCUUCUACUCAUUUUAGGUUUGGCUUGUUCUUGCUUUCCUUGGUCCUUGAGGUGCAUGGUUAGGUUGUUUAUUUGAAGUCUUUCUAUGUUUUUGAUGUAGGCAUUUAUUAUUAUACACUUG
rnacentral:lncRNA from 10 species